AGGGCGCAUGGCGGAUGCCUUGGCUCUCGGAGGCGAUGAAGGACGUGAUAAGCUGCGAUAAGCUUCGGGAAGGUGCAAAUAACCUUUGAUCCGAAGAUUUCCGAAUGGGACAACCCGGCAUUCUGAAGGAAUGUCAUCCAACCUAGUUGGAGGCUAACACAGGGAACUGAAACAUCUUAGUACCUGUAGGAAAAGAAAAUAAUAAUGAUUCCCCUAGUAGUGGCGAGCGAACGGGGAUUAGCCCAAACCAAUGUUGUUACGGCAAUAUUGGGGUUGUAGGACCACGAUAUCGCAAGAAGUUUAGUGAGAAGAACCCUUUGGAAAAUGGGACCAUAGACGGUGAUAGUCCGGUAUUCGAAGCUAAACGAAGCGUAGUGGUAUCCUGAGUAGCGCGGGACACGAGGAAUCUUGCGUGAAUCUGCCGGGACCAUCCGGUAAGGCUAAAUACUCCCGAGAGACCGAUAGCGAACCAGUACUGUGAAGGAAAGGUGAAAAGCACUUCGAAUAGAAGAGUGAAAUAGUCCCUGAAACCGUGCGCCUACAAGCGGUCGGAGCAACUUCGGUUGUGACGGCGUGCCUUUUGCAUAAUGAACCUACGAGUUACUUUUUCCGGCAAGGUUAAGUGUCUCAAGACAUGAAGCCGAAGCGAAAGCGAGUCUGAACAGGGCGAUUAGUCGGAAGGAGUAGACGCGAAACCAAGUGAUCUACCCUUGGUCAGGUUGAAGGUUAGGUAACACUAACUGGAGGACCGAACCGAUAAGCGUUGAAAAGCUUCCGGAUGAACUGAGGGUGGGGGUGAAAGGCUAAUCAAACUUGGAGAUAGCUCGUACUCCCCGAAAUGCAUUUAGGUGCAGCCUUGGGAAUUACUACUGUGAGGUAGAGCGACUGAUAAGAUGCGAGGGCUUCACCGCCUAUCAAGUCUUGAUAAACUCCGAAUGCGCAGUAGUUCGAUCCCAGGAGUGAGGGCAUGGGUGCUAAGGUCCAUGUCCUAAAGGAGAAGAAUCCAGACCAUCAGCUAAGGUCCCCAAAUAAUUGCUAAGUUGAACUAACGAAGUCAGAUUGCUAAGACAGCUAGGAUGUUGGCUUGGAAGCAGCCAUUCAUUUAAAGAGUGCGUAACAGCUCACUAGUCGAGGAGUUUGGCGUGGAUAAUAAUCGGGCAUUAAGCAAUUUACCGAAGCUAUGGGAUCCGUAAGGAUCGGUAGGGGAGCAUUCCACUCUGCGUCGAAGGUGAAGCGUGAGCUUUGCUGGAGCGUGUGGAAAAGCAAAUGUAGGUAUAAGUAACGAUAAAGGGGGUGAGAAACCCCCUCGCCGAAAGACUAAGGUUUCCUGAUCAACGCUAAUCGGAUCAGGGUUAGUCGGGUCCUAAGGCUCAGCCGAACGGUGAGGCCGAUGGCAGAACAGGUUAAUAUUCCUGUACUACCUUAAAGAGUGACGUGGAGACGGAGGAGUGACAGCGCCGCGGACUGACGGAAUAGUCCGUUGAAGGGUGUAGAUGUUGAUUAUCCCAGGCAAAUCCGGGAUAAGAGUCGAACCUGAUAGUAUACCAAAUUCCUCGGAAUAAGGUAAUAGUGCGUGUAAACAUACUCCCAAGAAAAUCCGCUAAACUUAAUCUUUAAGGUACCCGUACCGUAAACGGACACACGUAGUCGGGUUGAAUAUACUAAGGCGCUUGAGUGAUUCACGGUUAAGGAACUAGGCAAAUUGACCCUGUAACUUCGGGAUAAAGGGUCCCAACGAGAGUUGGGCGCAGAGAAUAGGUCCAGGCAACUGUUUAACAAAAACACAGGGCUGUGCCAAAUUGAAAGAUUACGUAUACAGCCUGACACCUGCCCGGUGCUGGAAGGUUAAGAGGAGAUGUCAUCGCAAGAGAAGCAUUGAAUUGAAGCCCCAGUAAACGGCGGCCGUAACUAUAACGGUCCUAAGGUAGCGAAAUUCCUUGUCGGGUAAGUUCCGACCUGCACGAAUGGUGUAAUGAUCUGGACACUGUCUCAACCGUGAGCUCAGUGGAAAUUGUAGUAUCGGUGAAGAUGCCGAUUACCCGCGAUGGGACGAAAAGACCCCGUGAACCUUUACUAUAGCUUAAAUUUGAAUUUUGGGUAAUUGAUGUGUAGGAUAGGGCCGGAGACUUUGAACAGGACGCCAGUAUUUGGGGAAUUCCUUUUUUGAAUCCCGCCCCUUUGAUUAUUUGAAGUCCUA
rnacentral:rRNA from 1 species